rnacentral:rRNA from 1 species
GUUUGAUCCUGGCUCAGGACGAACGCUGUCGGCGUGCUUAACACAUGCAAGUCGAACGGAAAGGCCCUUCGGGGUACUCGAGUGGCGAACGGGUGAGUAACACGUGGGUGAUCUGCCCUGCACUUUGGGAUAAGCCUGGGAAACUGGGUCUAAUACCGAAUAGGACCACGCGCUUCAUGGUGUGUGGUGGAAAGCUUUUGCGGUGUGGGAUGGGCCCGCGGCCUAUCAGCUUGUUGGUGGGGUAAUGGCCUACCAAGGCGACGACGGGUAGCCGGCCUGAGAGGGUGACCGGCCACACUGGGACUGAGAUACGGCCCAGACUCCUACGGGAGGCAGCAGUGGGGAAUAUUGCACAAUGGGCGCAAGCCUGAUGCAGCGACGCCGCGUGAGGGAUGACGGCCUUCGGGUUGUAAACCUCUUUCAAUAGGGACGAAGCGCAAGUGACGGUACCUAUAGAAGAAGCACCGGCCAACUACGUGCCAGCAGCCGCGGUAAUACGUAGGGUGCGAGCGUUGUCCGGAAUUACUGGGCGUAAAGAGCUCGUAGGUGGUUUGUCGCGUUGUUCGUGAAAACUCACAGCUUAACUGUGGGCGUGCGGGCGAUACGGGCAGACUAGAGUACUGCAGGGGAGACUGGAAUUCCUGGUGUAGCGGUGGAAUGCGCAGAUAUCAGGAGGAACACCGGUGGCGAAGGCGGGUCUCUGGGCAGUAACUGACGCUGAGGAGCGAAAGCGUGGGGAGCGAACAGGAUUAGAUACCCUGGUAGUCCACGCCGUAAACGGUGGGUACUAGGUGUGGGUUCCUUCCUUGGGAUCCGUGCCGUAGCAAACGCAUUAAGUACCCCGCCUGGGGAGUACGGCCGCAAGGCUAAAACUCAAAGGAAUUGACGGGGGCCCGCACAAGCGGCGGAGCAUGUGGAUUAAUUCGAUGCAACGCGAAGAACCUUACCUGGGUUUGACAUGCACAGGACGCCGGCAGAGAUGUCGGUUCCCUUGUGGCCUGUGUGCAGGUGGUGCAUGGCUGUCGUCAGCUCGUGUCGUGAGAUGUUGGGUUAAGUCCCGCAACGAGCGCAACCCUUGUCCUAUGUUGCCAGCGGGUUAUGCCGGGGACUCGUAGGAGACUGCCGGGGUCAACUCGGAGGAAGGUGGGGAUGACGUCAAGUCAUCAUGCCCCUUAUGUCCAGGGCUUCACACAUGCUACAAUGGCCGGUACAAAGGGCUGCGAUGCCGUGAGGUGGAGCGAAUCCUUUCAAAGCCGGUCUCAGUUCGGAUCGGGGUCUGCAACUCGACCCCGUGAAGUCGGAGUCGCUAGUAAUCGCAGAUCAGCAACGCUGCGGUGAAUACGUUCCCGGGCCUUGCACUCACCGCCCGUCAAG